rnacentral:lncRNA from 1 species
AAUAAUAAAACAUGAACAAUGUUCAAUGGACUUGAGUUUAUUCAAAUUGUCAUUAUAUUUGAUUAAGAAAAUGCUACCAGACAAAGCCUGGCCAGACAGGCUUAAUCUCUGAUGGUAAAUGAACAUCGCCAGGCUUGACUAGCCACCUCUGGGAUCGACUGAGGGAAAGGCAGACUUGAAUUACUCAGAGAAUAAGCCAGUGGUUCUGUUUUAAUGCUCUGAGUCAGCAGCCUUUUAUAGCUCAAAUCAAGGUCAACAAGAUAUGUAGAGCACCUUCUCUGAGCACUAGCUGGAACACGGCGGCUCUUCUUUCUUCCACUCUGAGACAAGAACACAUGCGCUUUUCCUGUAAGUGUUGUCUCCCCAGUUAUUCUGGAGACCAUCCAGAAGAGAAUGAGAAUAAAGAAACCAACAGAAGAAAGAUAAAGAAGGAAGAAUAAAAGAUACCAAAAUGACAGUUAUCGCUUGCUUCGGAGCAGGAAGGAGAAUCCAGUCAUGGAAUAUUAUGGUGGUAAUUGCUUCCAACUGGAACCAGUUAUCAAAAUGUGGCAGGAAAAU